UAUUUAUUUUAUUAUAUUUAUUUUUUGUUUAUUUAAUUAUUUAAUAAAAAUAAUUUUGUUGAAUUUUGUCUUAGUAUAUUUUGUAGAAUUGAUUUUUUAUAUUAUAGUUUAUUGGUAAUGUAAUUGUUUUAUGAAAUAUUAUUUUAAAUUUUUAAAAGUAGAUUUUAUUUAUUGUACCUUUUGUAUCAGGGUUUAUCAAAAUUUUAGUAUUUACUUUACUUGUCUCGAUUUGGGUUGAUUUAUAAAUAAUUUAUAGUUAAUGUAUCAUAAUCAUUAUUAAAUUAUUUAUAGAAAUGAGAUGUUAACCGUUUCCCAAGAUAUCUAGUUUCUUAAGAAAAAAUUUAAUUUUUAAAAGUUAAUUGUUUUUAUUUAAUUUUUUAAGUAUAAAUAUUAACUUAUUUAUUCUUUAAGGGAUAAGCUUUGAAGUUAAUAACCUAUAAUUUGUUUUAAUAAAAUAUAAUAGUAAGCUUUAAACCAGCUAUCUUUAAGAUUACGUUUUAGUUCAUUAUUUUUAUUUUUGAUUUUAUAACUAUUUUAGGUUUUUUAUUAAGAUUAUAAAUUUAAUUUUUAAAUUUUUGUAAUAAUGAUAGAAUUAGUAUAUUUAUUUGUAGAUAAUUUUUACCUUGUUAAUUUAUUAUAAGGAACUAGGC
rnacentral:rRNA from 1 species